GAUGAACGCUGGCGGCGUGCCUAAUACAUGCAAGUCGAGCGAACAGACGAGGAGCUUGCUCCUUCGACGUUAGCGGCGGACGGGUGAGUAACACGUAGGUAACCUACCUAUAAGACUGGGAUAACUUCGGGAAACCGGAGCUAAUACCGGAUAAUAUUUCGAACCGCAUGGUUCGAUAGUGAAAGAUGGCUUUGCUAUCACUUAUAGAUGGACCUGCGCCGUAUUAGCUAGUUGGUAAGGUAACGGCUUACCAAGGCAACGAUACGUAGCCGACCUGAGAGGGUGAUCGGCCACACUGGAACUGAGACACGGUCCAGACUCCUACGGGAGGCAGCAGUAGGGAAUCUUCCGCAAUGGGCGAAAGCCUGACGGAGCAACGCCGCGUGAGUGAUGAAGGUCUUCGGAUCGUAAAGCUCUGUUAUUAGGGAAGAACAAACGUGUAAGUAACUGUGCACGUCUUGACGGUACCUAAUCAGAAAGCCACGGCUAACUACGUG
rnacentral:rRNA from 1 species